ensembl:processed_transcript 1810053B23Rik RIKEN cDNA 1810053B23 gene
GUACUGCAGGCUUCAGCUGACCUGGACUUUCCAGAGUGUCUCUUUUGGUGAGAGACAUUCGGUGUCCCACGUGUUGUGACCUUUUCUUACGGGAACAGCUGGAGGUUGCAAACAUGGUCGAGAAAGAACUCGCAGCUGAGACCCAUCUCAGGAGGUGCCUGUCUCCUCCAGGGCCACUCAACACAUCCAAUACUGUGACACAGGUAGGCUAGCCUCCUUCUCCUCUUUCCACCCUGUCUUUAGGAUCAUCUCCAGACAUCGAAGGGCAUCAUUAUCACGGAUAAGAACACAGAUGCUGGGGCUGGAGAGAUGGCGCAGAGGUUAAGAGCUGGCACUAAUCUUUCAGAGGACUGGAGUUUGGUUCCCAUCCCCAUGUUGGGCAGAUCAUGACGACCUGUGACUACAGCUUCAGAGGGCCUAGAACCUUCUUCUGGAGACCCUGCAUGCUCUGCCUUCAUGUGCUCCUUCCCCUAAGACACAGACGUAAGCACACAAUCAAUUUAUAACGAAAAAAAAAAAAAAACACAGUCACUGGUUCUGUGUGGCUUCCCGGGGAGGAGCCUCUGGGCUUCAGUCCAUAUCUGUGAAAUGGGUUAAUGAGAACACCUUUGUCCUGGACACUGAAAAGGUCAGAAUAAUGAAGCUAGCCUGCACGGUGUCAACCUCAAGCAUUGUGGCUGUCACCACUGAUGACCAAUUGAUUACAUAGUCUCAUGGGGAAGAUCAAAGGGGCUAUCUUAGUCCACCUUUCUCACGCCACGAUGGGAGAGUCUAGUUGAUCUAAGUGAGACCGAUGUUCUGCUUGGUUUUUGAAAGACUCUCAGCGAGUGCCAGGCUGUGGUGGCAUGGAAGCCCCAGACUCCAGACUCCCAACUGGUUAUUCCUGUGUCAAGAUUAGGAAGUUGUGACCCUUUAUCUAAACAAAAUUGGGUCUGAAAGCAUCUACUAUGUCGCCAUUGUUGUUCCCAGAAACCAAGAUCAAUAAUUGUGAACUGCAGCAAAAUGCCACAAGAAAGCAGAUUCCACAAUCCCAACCACAGGCCGUGGGAGGCCCUGGUUCUCCCUGCCUAGCACAGCCAGGGCUGGGAAAAGAUACCACAGGGGCUUCCCCCUCUUCCCUCAGAUAAGGGAGAGAACGAUAACAGAUCUGCAGUCAAACCAGGAUGGCAAAUCUGCAUGUACUGCUCACACACCGUUCUGAGAUGGUUUUAUGUUUUUAAGUUCAUUCAAUUACUAGGUAACGCUUUGUAGGUAGGUUGAAUUAUUAAACCCACUUUUUUUUUUAUG